UUGAGCGCUGGCGGCAUGCCUUACACAUGCAAGUCGAACGGUAGAGGGGCAACCCUUGAGAGUGGCGAACGGGUGAGUAAUGCAUCGGAACGUGCCCAGUCGUGGGGGAUAACGCAGCGAAAGCUGUGCUAAUACCGCAUGUGAUCUGUGGAUGAAAGCAGGGGACCGCAAGGCCUUGUGCGAUUGGAGCGGCCGAUGUCAGAUUAGCUAGUUGGUAGGGUAAAAGCCUACCAAGGCGACGAUCUGUAGCUG
rnacentral:rRNA from 1 species